rnacentral:rRNA from 1 species
AUGGUCCAGGGCGAGACCUUUCUCCCCGGACAGAUUUUUUUGUUCGGCGGCUUCGCACUGCGGGCCAAUUCGCCUGGCCAUCUGGAGCAGAUCGACAGCUAUGGCCCCAGCCAGCAGGUCAGGUUCGGAAACCUGAACUACACGGCCGAUAUCCGCGGAGACUUGAUCUUCAACGGAUUCGGGCCUGCGGCAGCAGCGCUGGACAGUCACGAUGAGCACGGCUUAGACCUGCUAUCGGAAAAUGCUCGGGAUAUCGCCCCUGCAGGAACCCCGGACCUAAAUCCAGGGCAGAUUGCGUCGCCCAAGGACGGGUGGAUGGACCCCACCCCGGAGGCCGCACACUCGUCGGCGGUAGAGCCGCACACAGACUUCACCCCCAACGAAGCCUGUGACACCGGACCCCCGGACUCGUAUCCGGUUAUAGGUUCCAGUCCACGCGCCUCCGAGCCCGCCGAAUCUGGUUGGGCUCCGGUAAUGGAGUUCACCGCUGCGGAUAUCUUCCAGCACUCGCCCUUUGGCGACAUGCUGAACUCUUUAAAGUCCCUCUCUUUGUCAGGAGACUCUCGGCUGAACUAUGUCCGGCUCGAGUGUGAAUCAGGCGACGAAGGAAUUCGUUGCCCACCCACCACCCACUUCAUUGCCACGGCCGAUGAUUUAACCGACGUGCUUGACUUCGACUUCGAAGACAUCGACGGUAUGGACGACGAUGCAGGAGAAGAACAGGAACCACCGCCCACGGGGCGGUGGACAACCACCUCCUCAUAUGAUAUAUAUAUGGUGGACACUCCGAAGGAAACCAAUGGCGAUGAGGCAAUGGAGGAUAACCCCUCAGGGAAGAGAGCAAAGCAUGGGCGUCGUCGGUGCCGCUCCAAGCCCCGCCACAACAAUAUUGGCACAGGAGACAAAAACAAUCCGGAUGGUGCCGAAGAUGAAUACAACCCCGAUCAGCCUGCCUUCGAGAAGGCUGAGCAGGCAGACGGGCAGGUCAGCACAGAAGAACAGGCGACGGACGGAUAUCCGGAGAAGGACAACUACAUGCCCCCCUCCGAAGACGAGAUUAGCCUCGGCGACGACGAGUUCGGCGUGCCUGAGGACCGUGUGGAGCAGGGGCGCUUCAAGCGCCGGCUUAUGGCCACUGCGAGGAGCCUGAAAAAGAAGCAGCAACAGCUCCAAGCUGAUCAAGACUUGCUCACAGACAGAUGGACAGAAGUCUUGACAGCUGAGGAAUACGGACUCGAACGCCACACGGCUGACCGGCCACCUCGUGGCCGGGAUAAAACGGCAUAUCAACCCGAAUACCAGCCCGCACCCCCACGCCAAUACACUACGGCCCGGGGCAAUAGGUAG